CCCUCCCUCCCUCUCUCACGACAGAUCUCAUAUCAUCUCCUUCUCUGCUUUUUUUUUUUCCCGAUUCUCUCUUCUCCACUCUAACCUCUCAUUCUCAUAUCUCAUAUAUCUCUUCUCUCUCAUCUCUCUCAACGCCUCUCUCCCAUCUCUCUCAAUGCCUCUCUCAUCUAACCACCACCGUGUCUCCUCCUCGUCUCACCACCACCGCGUCUCCUUCUCGUCUCACCACCACCGCGUCUCCUUCUCGUCUCACCACCACCGCGUCUCCUCCUCGUCUCACCACCACUGUUUUCCCCCUUGUCUCACCACCACCACGGUCGACGUGGAGGAGCCAAGGUUCAUGGCGGCUGGAGGAAGCAAGGUUCAUGGCGGCUGGAGGAAACAAGGUUCAUGGCGGCUUGAGUAUACAAGUCUCGUGGCGGCUGGAGGAAUCAAAGUUCAGGGCUGCUGGAAGAGGGACAAGGAUAUGGAGGAGGCGGCAGGAGUUUUUUUCUUUAGGUUUAGGUUUUUUAGGUCUGGUUAAGUGUCCUAAAUUGUAGUGGUCUGAUUUUAUUUUUUAAUUUCUGGUUUAGUUUUGUAAACCAGAAUUAAUCUGUAAACCAAAUUUAAUUUAUUAAUAAAAUUUAUUUUAUUUUCA